rnacentral:rRNA from 1 species
UACGGAGGGUGCAAGCGUUAUCCGGAUUCACUGGGUUUAAAGGGUGCGUAGGCGGGCGAGUAAGUCAGUGGUGAAAUCUCCAGGCUUAACCUGGAAACUGCCAUUGAUACUAUUUGUCUUGAAUGACGUGGAGGUGAGCGAAUAUGUCAUGUAGCGGUGAAAUGCUUAGAUAUGACAUAGAACACCAAUUGCGAAGGCAGCUCACUACACGUAUAUUGA